AUGCCUAACACAUGCAAGUCGUACGAGAGUUUUUAACUCUAGUGGCGGACGGGUGAGUAACACGUGAGAAUUUGCCUUUAGGAGGGGGAUAACAAUUGGAAACGAAUGCUAAUACCCCAUAUGCUUUCGAGUGAAAUGGAUUUAUAUUUAUCCGCCUAGAGAGAAGCUCGCGGCUGAUUAGCUUGUUGGUAAGGUAAGAGCUUACCAAGGCGACGAUCAGUAUCUGGUUUGAGAGGACGAUCAGACACACUGGAACUGAGACACGGUCCAGACUCCUACGGGAGGCAGCAGUGGGGAAUUUUCCGCAAUGGGCGAAAGCCUGACGGAGCAAUACCGCGUGAGGGAAGACUGCCUAUGGGUUGUAAACCUCUUUUUUCAGGGAGGAAUAAAUGACGUGUACCUGAAGAAUAAGCAUCGGCUAACUCCGUGCCAGCAGCCGCGGUAAGACGGAGGAUGCAAGUGUUAUCCGGAAUCACUGGGCGUAAAGCGUCUGUAGGUGGUUUAAUAAGUCAACUGUUAAAUCUUGAGGCUCAACUUCAAAAUCGCAGUCGAAACUAUUAGACUAGAGUAUAGUAGAGGUAAAGGGAAUUUCCAGUGGAGCGGUGAAAUGCGUAGAUAUUGGAAAGAACACCGAUGGCGAAAGCACUUUACUGGGCUAUUACUAACACUCAGAGACGAAAGCUAGGGUAGCAAAUGGGAUUAGA
rnacentral:rRNA from 1 species